AGUGAACGCUGGCGGUAGGCCUAACACAUACAAGUCGAACGGCAGCACAGUAAGAGCUUGCUCUUACGGGUGGCGAGUGGCGGACGGGUGAGGAAUACAUCGGAAUCUACUUUUUCGUGGGGGAUAACGUAGGGAAACUUACGCUAAUACCGCAUACGACCUACGGGUGAAAGCAGGGGAUCUUCGGACCUUGCGCGAUUGAAUGAGCCGAUGUCGGAUUAGCUAGUUGGCGGGGUAAAGGCCCACCAAGGCGACGAUCCGUAGCUGGUCUGAGAGGAUGAUCAGCCACACUGGAAAUGAGACACGGUCCAGACUCCUACGGGAGGCAGCAGUGGGGAAUAUUGGACAAUGGGCGCAAGCCUGAUCCAGCCAUACCGCGUGGGUGAAGAAGGCCUUCGGGUUGUAAAGCCCUUUUGUUGGGAAAGAAAAGCAGCAGGUUAAUACCCCGCUGUUCUGACGGUACCCAAAGAAUAAGCACCGGCUAACUUCGUG
rnacentral:rRNA from 1 species